UACAAUUACACAGCAAAGGUGGGUUAGAUAUCUGUUAACUCAAAAGACGAUCGUAGAAGAAAGAAACUUCCACAUUUUUUCUCAUUGAAGUUUAAUUUAGUAAUUUCAGGAAGAUACUGCCACUGGAGAGACCAAAGGCGGGGAGAUCUGUACCGGUUAUUUGGACCCAUGCAUGAACAAAAUCCUUGAAAGUGAGAAUUUUGACACAAUACUCUUUUUUCUUACUGUAUUGGAACUAAACUCACAUACUUCUCAUCUCAUUAUCUGUCCAUUCAUAAGGGGGGGGAAACUAGAGAAGAACAUUUAUCACUUUCAAACUUGAGGUUUUUGUCCAAAUUUGAAGUUUCGUUUUUCUGUCAAACGGUUGAAAGAAAUCAUAACACUUCCCACUCAUGGUUCUCACUUGAAAAAACUGUUUCUCUGUUUGUAUAUUGAAUUUGUGAAAGGGAGACCAGUAAACUCCGUUAUAUGAAUGUAAUUAUUAAAUUUAAAAAUUCAAUAACCUUCACAUUUGUAGGGUAAGACUCAGUUUAGACUAAUUUUUAGAGGUUUUUAACUUGCUUUUGUUUUCAAUUUUUUUCAUCUUAGUGAUUUUUUUUACCGAUUAAUUAAAUAUUUAUACUUUUUUGAUUUGUAUAAAUAAAAUUUCACCAAAUAAAAAAAUGUUAGUUAAUUUAUAAAGUAUAUUUUUAUUUUUAAUGAACUUAGGUGAAAAUUUAUACGUUUUUCAACUUUUUUUCGUUGAGAAAAAUCGAAAAUAUAUAAUUUUUUCAUCGAAUAAUUAAAAAGUUUUAUUAAAAAAAUAAAAAUCAAAAUUGAUAAAAAAAAUCUCAAAAAAAUUUGGCCAAGGUGGCUUUGGUAGGGCUCACUUUAAUAUUUUUUUUACCGUUAGAUCAAAAUUUUAUGUUUUUUCAAUUCCUAUAAAUAAAAAUUUACUAAAGAAAAAACGUUAGUUAAUUUAUUAAGUAAAAAUAAUUUUUUAUUUUUAUUAAAUUUUAGGUGAAAAUUAUUACAUUUUUCAACUCGUUUUGGGGAGAAGAACCAAAAAAAUGUAAUUUUUUUAUCGAACAAUCAAAAUGUCCACCAAAAACAAAAAUAAAAAUAAAAACACAUUUUUUUUGGCCAAGAUGCCCUUAGUAGGCACGCUUGCUGACAAAUCAAACACUGGCCCCACCACCCAAUCUCUAAUUAUUUUUUUAUUUUUAGAGAUGAAUAUAUUAAGACAAACCUAAUCGAUAUUUAAAACAAUCUUAUCUCUAUGUUUCUAUGCAAGUGUGAUUGUAUUUAUAUAUCUAUUUGAGAGUGAAGAUCGUAGUGUUAUUCAGGAUGGAGCUAAAAUUUAAAUUUAGUGGAGUUAAAAUUAUCAGAACUUAUAUUUAGUGGGGUUAAAAUUAUAGAAUUUAUAGAAUAUAAAACAAAUUACUAAAAACCACGCUUAUUGGUGUUCACAAAGACCAAAUCCACGCUUAUUUCGCAGCCACUAUCCGAGUUCUUUCUAGCCUAAUGAAUUUGCAGGUUUGUCUCCUCCUCUCUCCUCUCUUUCUCCUCUCUCUUCAUAGUUUGCUUAGUUCUUGCUCUCCUAGUGUAAUAAGAUAAAAGUGUGCUACGUGCGGAUCUACCCUUUCAUAGAAUCUGCAAAAGACAAGCGUGAAGACCAAGCCCAAAUUGGAAAGAAUAAGUCUUGGUAUACUUCAUAAAUUAUUGAUUAAAUUACUCUAUAUUUACAUGAGUUGUGGGCCCAUUACCCAAGAGUAAUAGUGUGUAGCCCACACACUGUGGUACGAAAGUAAUUUAUUCGGUUAAUUAUGACGGGGGUUGUGUGUUUUUUUUGUAAGAAUAACUCUAUUGAAAAUUGUAUUUCUCUUCUACUUUAACAGAAUACCGAUAAAAGUUCUUACUAAUGUACAAAAGAGCAACUAAAUUCGGAUCCAAAUGUUCCAAUUAUUGCACAAAGGUAGAACAGGAAAGUUUUAACAUAAAACCCCACACCUCUAUCCAUUUCCAGCUCAAAGCAUCAUUUACAUUAUAUCAUUAUCAUCCAUUGAAAUUCUAUUAAACUUAUUAGCAGAUUGUCAUAAACAGAAUCCUCCAAAACAUAUAAGCUUUUUCCACAACUCAAAUUUCAAUUAUGAAACACAUUGCAGAUUUCUUGAGUUGAUAACAAAACAACCUAAAGAUCUCCUCCUUUAGAUUUUUUUGUUAAAUGCAAAAAUUGUCUAUCUUGUUUACAGUUAUCCCCACAAAACUAUCAAGUUACAAGAAUAGAAAAUGCUAAUCUAGCAAAAGAGGAAACUACAAGCAAUAUGGACACUUUAGUUGACAUACAAGGACUAGUCACUUCUAUGAGGAAAAAGGUAGACAACUUGUCUCCUCUAUCCACACACACACACACACAUUGUUGGAUCUUUAGAGUUCCUAAAAGACUUCAACAAGUCAACGAGAGAGCCUACACUCAUGUCAAAGUCUCGAUUGGCCCCCUUCACCAUGGUAGAGACGACGUAAACCCUUGAAAGAGCCUAAAUGGAGGUACCUAAAGGAUUUUCUACAACACAGCCUUUAGAGUACCUUGUCGCAUUUAUCAAGGAAAGGGAAGAAUCAAUUCGAGAAUGUUAUGCAGAAGCCAUCAUCUUCGACAAUGAUAAGUUUUUGAAAAUUAUUCUUGUGGAUGCUGCCUUCAUCAUUGAAGUCCUUUUAAAAAACAUGUAUUCCAAUCUAAGAACUUCAGGUGAUUCCUAUUCAAUAUGGAGUUGAUGAUCGUAUUGCGACCAAUCAAAAAUAAAGAUUUAUUAUGUAAAAAUAGCUACUUUGCCCACCAACUUGGAAAAAUUUUCUAAUGGAGUAAUGGUCCAGUAGCCUGACUGAGUUGGUGUUCCUGAGUUGUUGUUCUUAGAGAUCAAAAGGGCUAAGUUGCAUAAAUUCAAAAUUAUUUCUUAAAUUAAUUCAGACAAAAAUUGGGGUAAAAAGUGAAAUAGUAAAACUAAGAAAACAAAGUAAUGAAUUUUUACAGAUACCCUAGUAGGGAACAGGUAAAUUUAUUAGUGAUCCCUGUGUUUGAAAAAAUCUCAACUAGUCUGUUCUAUAGUUCUAAUUAAAUAAGUAGAUUUAUUGAUUUAAUUAGUUGCCAAUGUGGUCCUCUAUCUAAAUUUAUGUGUACAAAAUACUAAUGGAAGAGUUUUCAAGGUUUUUUUUUUAUCUUUUUUAUUUUCUAUAAUAGUUUCAUCAAUUGCAAUUAAUAUUUUUGAAUCAAUUUCAAUGCCUGAAGGACAUAUUUGGUCCCUCCAUCCAAAUCGAUUAAAAAAGUUGACAAAAUAUAAAAAUACUAGUAAUUGCCCAUAUCCACGGGCACUACGUAAAAAAAAAAAAAAUUUCAUCGAUUUUGAUGAUUUUUCAUCGCAGAAGAAAAAAUUAAAAAAAAUAAUCAUAAAUAAGGUAACUCUCUGUUACUUUAUCAGAAAAUUAACUAAUCUAAACUAACUAAUCUAAUCUAAAACUAACAUAAGAGAGUUAUUUUUUUCACCCCUGACAACCCCACCCCCUCGAUGUAACCUUUUUUUUUUAUUUUCAACUUUUACCCUUAAUUCUUCCUCAAAUUACAAUUUUGCCAUUCAACCCUUUUAUUCUUUUUUUUAAUACACCUUGAUUAAAUUUUUUUUUACUUUCACUUGCGAAUUUUUAUAUAAAAAGAUUAUGAUAAAAUUUUAUAACCCCUUUAUUUUUUUCCUUUAAUACCCCUUGAUUUUUUUUUUUUUUACUUUUACUUUUAAAUUUUUAUAUAAAAAAAUUAUGAUAAAAUUUUAUAAUUUUUUCUAUUCCCACCUUAUUUUUUUUAUAAAAGAAAACAAUUAUGGAUCAAAAUUUUUAAUAUUUAUUUUUUAAAAUUGCGAUGGAUUAAUGGUUAUAUGUUAUAUGUUAUUUGUUAUUUGAGACUAUCAUUAAAAAUUAAUAAUGUAUUUUUUAGUACUUUGAUUUAUCAUAAAAAUAUAUAAAAAAAAAAUAAACUUUUAACGUAUCAAUACAGUAGUAAAUUCAACAUUGCAUAAGAACAUAACUUUUACGAAUAUUCCUUCAAACGAAAGUAUAUAUAUUUUUUAAAUUUUUUUAUAUAAAAAUUCAGAAGUGAAGUAAAAAAAUAAAAAAAGAAUCAAGGGGUAUAAAAAAAGACUAAAUAACAACAUAAUAUUAAACUAUCAACCCACCGAAACUUAAAAAAAUAUUAAAAAUCUGAUUCAUAUAUUUUUUUAUAAAAAAAUAUAAGUUAGGAGUAAAAAAUUAUAAAUUUUAUCAUAAUUUUUUAUAUACAAAAUUCGGAAGUGAAAGUAAAAAAGAAAAUAAAAGAAUCAGGGAUAUUAAAUGAAAAAGAAAUAAAGGGGUUAUAAAAUCUUAUAAAAAAAUUAUAUAAAAAUUUAAAAGUGAAUGUAAAAAAAAAGAAAAAGAGAUAUUAAAAAAAUAUUAUAAAAGGUUGAAUGUUGAAAGUGAUGGGAGAGUGAGAGAGUGAAGUGAUUAUUUUUGGACCAAAAUAAUAAAUUUGUGGGAAAUCUGAGCCGUUUGAUCAAUUCAAAUGAUUUUAGCCGUGAUAGCGAGAAUAUAUUUGGAUUCAAAUAUAGUUGGAUUAUAAUAUAGAAUAAAAAAAACUAAAGGAUAAAAAAAAAACCUAAAAAUCUAUCUAUAUCUAACACUAUUAGAUAGGUUUUGAAAUUAGAAUAGUUUUAGUUGUUAAAAUUGAAAGGACAAGGUCAAAAUUAGAACUUUCUUAAUGCAAGAAUUUACUCUUUUAAUAAGUGGAUAAAAUAUGCAAUCCUCAUCCACAUAUAUAGGCUAACGGCUAGCCCCAGCUACCAACGCAGAUCGCUCCUACUUUUUCUGUUUUGCGUUGAACUCCAAAUUUCCACAUUCCCGACAAUACCCUCCACCCCCUAUUUAAUCACAUUUUUAAUUUUUUUUUGCCACCCAUUUAUUUCACACAAACCCUAGAAACACAAAUUGCAAAUCCAAAGCUCAACAGAUCCAAAAAUUUAAAGCUUCUGGGCUGUCAAAAUUCAAUAAGCUGCUAAAAAUUUGAGGAAAGGAUAGUGAUUUUGAUUUCUAGGGUUUCAAUUUCUGCUCUUUCUAUGCUUACUGCAUUCAAAUGGAGGCUUUUUGGAUGGUUAAUUUGAAAACCUUACAAUCUUCUGUGGAAACCUUCAAUUUAAAUUUUUCCUGUGGAUGAGUUCUUACUGAUUUGGUUCUGACAGGUUUCACAUACCGGAGUUUUGAUUAUUGUAUCGAUCGUGAGGUUCAAGAUUUGGUUAAACCUUACUGAUUUGGUCCCUACAAUCUUCGGAGUUUUAAGGAAGGCUAUUAGGCCUUGUCCUCCUCUUGUCCAAGCCCUGGGGCGUUGGGUGGCUAGUGAUAUUGUGGAGGUUCUCCAUCAUGUUUCUCCACGGUCUUGAAGGUUUUGGAUAGAGAUUAUUAUUCGGUGAGACUACUUGGAGUUAACCAGAAAUUCACAGUUCACAAAUCUAUAAUACAAAUCACAACUUUGAAUCUCAAAUCAAUCUCCCGUUAUCUACGGCUCAAAUUCAUUUGAGAUAAUCCAACGACUGAGAUUUCAUCUAAAAUUACUUCCCCCAAAACUAUCACUUCCUUCUUCUUAAAUGUGUGGGACUCACGUAGGUUCUUAUUAAUGACAAAAAAAUACUAAAUCUUGCAUAUUUUUUACUCAUUGGAUCAUUUUUAGUGGGACACCAAAAAAAAAAUGGAUUAACUUCGUUCACACCUUUAGGUUGUCGUCAUAGCAAUGGACCUCCCCUGUAGUUUAAAAAUGGCACUGGACCUCCCCUGUAAGAGCAAAAAUGACCAUUAUGCCCUGACCCCAGCCCCCCACCCACACCCCACCCCACCACCCCCUGCGAUUUUUUUUUAUUUUUUUAGUUUUUCUUGUAAUUAUUUUUAUUACUUUUUUAUCUAAUUUAUUUUUUUUAUCGGUUUUUGUUCGAUUAAAUAUUUUUUUAUUUAUAUGUUUGUGUUUUUAAAAAAAAAUUUCAUUAAUAAUUUUUACAUAAAAAAAUAAAUAAAUAUAAAAAUAAAAAGAGAACACCAAAUGUAAGUUCACAAAUAUUGAUCCUAUAAUUUAAAAAAUGUACAAACUUUUCGUUGUAGGUCUAAAUUAUAAAAUGGCUUAAAACUCAUUAAUAAAGGCCAAGUUGGCCUACUUUUUAAAAAAAUUUUAAGUAUUUUAGUUUCUGAAUUUUUUUAUUUUUUUUAUAGUUUCAUCAACAAUUUGACCAACCAAGGAUGAGGCUAACUCUUGGUCAUUAGAUCUUGACUUUCAAAAUAAAAUAUGCCAAUCAGAUAUCUAAAAAGGUUUAGGACAUUAGAUGCGAAACUUACCAAUUUGGAGAUACUUUCGCUAAAAAUUUGCUAAACUGAGUAUCUCAAAAUUGUUAAAAAAUCAACAUUAAAUACGUAAGUUGUUUUGAAAAAAGUAGGGUCCAAAGUGGCCGGGAAAGUAAGGAAGGGAGAGAGGGGAGAAGGUUAGACAGACAACGAAAAAAUUUGUACAAGGUUGACAAAAUAAUGAUAGAGAUUUGAAACUUAAAUUGUAUUUUUUUUAAAUUUGUAAUUUUUCAGUUAGUUUUUUAUUAAAAUUACAUUAAUAAAAAAAACUUAAAAAAACACAAACUAUAAUAAAAAACUGAUAAAAAAAUAAAUUAGAUUAAAAAGUAAUAAAAAAUAAUUAAAAGAAAAACUAAAAAAAACUAAAAAAAAAUCGCGGGACGGGGGGGUGGGGGGGGGACUAAGGUCAGGGGAAUAUGGUCAUUGUUGAUCUUACAGGGGAGAUAGGUCAGUAGUGCCAUUUUAAAAACCACAGGGGAGGUCAGGGCAAUAUGACAAACCUCAGGGGUUGUGAACGAAGUUAUCCCCCCAAAAAAUAUUAAAACACCACUUCUUUUUCCCUCAUUUCUUCCAAAUUAGUAAUUUUUUUUUUUAAAUUAUUUGUAAUUUCUAAUUUGUUCUAUAUUUUGUAGGAAUAUAUCUUUUUGUAAAUGUAUGUAAUGUAUCUUUUAUCUAACAUUUAUAUCUUAUUUAUUUUUUAGAUUGUAAAAUUUUAAAAUCAUUGUGGUUUCUAUUUUUUUGUAUAUGUAUGCAAUGUUUCUAAUUUUUGUACAUUUAUAUCUUAUCUUAUCAUUGUAAAUUUUUUUUUUUUUUAUCUUAUCUUAUAUCUAUUUUUUAGGAAUAUAUAUAUAUAUUUUUUAAAAGAUAAUUUUUUUUUACGUAGUGCCCGUAAAUACGAGUAAUUACUCGUACAAUCUUCGCAAGGCAAGAAGUGGGUUGUGAUUGGAAGGUAUUAUUCUCUCUCUUUUUCAAAAAUUUUUAUAUUUUUUGAAUUUUUAAAACUAUUAUAAUUUUUUUUAUCAAAUAUUAAAAAAAAAUCACUAAGAAUUAAAAAAAAUCGGAAAUCAAAUCAACUAAAAAGUCUUUAGAAACUAAAAACUAAUGUUGUUGAUUGGAAGUUCUCCCUUCUAUUAUGGGACAAGCCACCAUUAUUGUUUUAACUUUUUCCUCAAAGCCCACAAUUCGAACUAGGGCCCAUGAGUUAGUUUCGGCCUCGCAGACAUGUCUAAAUGGGCCUCUAGGUCCAAGUGCUUGAGCAUUCAUUCCAAUAGGAACAAGUCAGUGACGUCAGUCUCUAUCGGUUAAUUACCUUCUCAAAAAAAAAAUAACAAUGUUUUUUUUGGGGUAAAAUAACACAUACCUCGCCUGAGGUUCGUGAUUAAGGCUCCGUUUGGUACGAGUUUAUUUUUGAUUUUUUGCUUAAAUAAAGCAAAAAAGUUAAUCAUCCGUUUGGUUUAUUGGCUUUUUUUUGACUUUUUUACUUUUUGCUUUUUGCUUUUUGUAGUGCAAAUCAGAGGCCAAAAAAGCUAAAAAUUUAAGUUUUUUGAUUUUUUUCACUUUAGCGGAGCUCAGUGCUUAAUAAACGUUUGUUUUAUUCCAAAUAACCUUCACCCUAUCCAACCCCUUACCGUCACAUAGUUCGUCCCCAAAUCCCCCCACUUCACCACGCUCACAAGACAUCUCUCUCAUCUCGAGCAAGUCGCCUCUCCAUCUCUGAGAAAUCGAUUUCUCCCAGAAAAGCUGCCCAAAUGGAGAAGGAUUUUCCUCGGCUUCGAAACAUCAAUCUCUUCGCGACCUAACAUCGCUAAUGAGCUCAAGAUCUUCCUCCAAAACCACCAGCUCCCUCUGGGGAGAGAUUCGCGAAUGUGGGAUCAUCGAAAUGGUGCCUCUGUGGGGCAUUCGCCCGAGAAAUCGGUGGAUUUUGUUGUCCUCAGUACACGAAUUACAAGGUCAAUGGGUCGUGCCCUGAUGAUUUGAGCCUGGCUUAUAAGCUGAUUUUGCGAGGAUUGCGAGCCUCUGCCUAGAAGGAGGUGCUUCGCGAAGGCGAUUCCCCAAGGUGGGUCUUUACUCUUUCCCAAUUUCUCUUUGGAAGAAUGUUAGUGAUAAUUUUUUGAGUUUGGAGUGGACGUGGUUGCAAGAAUUUAGAAUGCUUGAUGAGAAGAGUGAAUUAAAGAUUUGUGUUGGUUGCUUUGACUCACGAAGGGUGUGAGAAUUAGAGGUAUGUUAAGCUAGAGGGAAAAAUGAUUUCCUAAUUCACGAUGUGUGGGCUUUGGGAACUGGUGAAUCAGAAUUGAGUUUGAUUUUGGUGGUGGGUCUGCCACAUUUGCCGCUGUAAUGGCAGAGAGGAAUGUGACUAUAUCACACGGAAAAGAAGAGGUUUUUAACCCGGUUAAUUGAACGAUUUGGGUACAAAAAACUGAAAUGGGUUGUGGAAGAGAAGGUUAAUGGGUCGGAAAAAUUUGAGGUUUAUUUGUCUGCAAAACGAAUUUUGUACUAGAAAUCAUCAAUAACUACUAACAUCAUACAGGAAUACCAAUAUUUCAAUUACCAAACAACGUCAUAGGUAAGAUAGUCUAAUAUUGAAAAAAUUCCUAUACAAGCUUAAGCUAUAUCAAACAAGCAUGUUUUAAAAACUUGAGUUUUUUCAGCUUUUUUCAAGCGAUGCCAAACGCCACAGGAUGGCUUUUUCUAAUCUAGUUUUUCUGUUAGCUUAUUUUAAACAACUUUUUUACUUAAAAUAAGCACUACCAAACGGAGCCUAAGCUGAUUCCCCAAGGUCUUGGAAAUUAGAUUUUCCUCCCUGUCAGAAUUUGUCUUUUAACAGCCUUGAUAGAAAAACUUGUAAAUACUAAAUUACCCUCAACUUAUUCCUCUUCUCUCUCAUGUUCCUCACCAAACCCAAAUAAUAUGUCAAUCCUUAUCUUAUUCCUCUUCUCUCUCACGUUCCUCACCAAAUCCAAAUAAUCUCUCAAAAACACUCACCUUCUUCUUUUUCCUUUUCCUCUUCCUCUUCCUCUUCCUCAUCCACUUCUGGUGGAUUAAUGGAGGAUGUGGCAGAUGUUAGUUUUCAGGACCUCAGGGUAGGUAUGUGUAAUUUACCUUUUUUUUUUAGUUCUGAUGCUUCUAUUGCAAGUUCACAUUUAUUUAAAAAAAUUGUUGGAUAAUGAUAUCGGAAAGUUCUCAAAGAAUUACAAAUUAGUUUAUAUAUAUAUGUAGGAUUUUUUGCUUGAAUUUAAUAUUUUAGACAGUCUACUAUUUUAUGGGCAUAUGUUUAUGUAUUUUUUUUACGAAGUUAUAAUAUCAGUUUGUGUUUUUCUUCUAAAUUGUACUCCCUCAGUUAUAAUUUAUUUAUUCACUUUGACCCUCUUAAAAGUGAACAAAUAAGUUCAGAGAGAGUAAUAGUCUUUGGGCCAAGUUUUCCUCUUCUCCACUGAUUAUACAAGUUGUACAAACUUGUGGGUCUCACCACGAGCUUUGUUUGGAUGAUUUGAAUUACUUAUUUUGUAAAUUUUGAAAUAUUUUAGAUUUUAGUAUCUUUUCCUAAAAAAUUAUGUUUAUUUUUAUCAAUUACUCUAAUGAAAGAUAAAUUGAUUUUUUUAAAAAAAUUGAGCAAAAAAUAAAAAAUGUUUACCAAUUAGAAAAAUAAUUCAAAAAAAUUAAUUCGACAAAAUGGGCCGACAUAACAUAGAUGAACCUAUAUAUGAGACAAUGCCCAAUUUAGAAAAUUCAACCAUGUGCAUCGCACGUGCCUUCACACUAGUUUACUAAAAUGUCCUCCUUAUAUUAUUCUUGUAAAAUUUUCUUUAUAGAUUUUUCGUAGAAUAAUGGAUUUAUGUCUUUUAAUCUCCGUAUACGUAAAUAGUUAAUUAAGUAGAAAUCAUUUUUAACUUAAGAGAAAUACUAAUCACAAGGCCGAUCAAGAGUUUUUGGGAGCUAGGCCUCUUUUAUAUUUUAGGACAAUUUAAAACAAAAAUAUAUAUGAACUUUAAAAAGAUGUCAUUAGAAGAAUAUAAAGGGGAUAAACAUUUCGUUUUUCCUAUGUUGUAAGGAAAGAGAUGCGAUUAUUAUUUGUCUAGUAUUCUAUUCGUUAAGCAUGCCAUCAAAACGAAACAUUGAUUAAGUGUUUACAUUUAUAUAGUUCCAAAAUUUUAUGAUUUUAAAAUAUCUAUAUAUAUAUCUUAUUAAUAUAAUAAUAAAUUAUAUAAUAUAUUGUUUGAAAAUUGUUUAUAACUUUAGAAUUUUUUUGUAAUUUUUUUUAAAAAAAACAUUGUGUAAUGUUGGUAAAAAUUUAAAAUAAUGACGCAGUACGAACACAUUAAAACACAUAUGCCUCAUCUUAACCCGCAAUCCCAAAAUCCAACCCCCCGCCCCACUUCCAUCACCCGGCAACACCCUCUUCCCAAUCCCUAUGCAUAUUGAAAUUAAAUAAAUAAAAGACAAAGAUUAUCACAUCUGAAAUUCAUUCAUUAGCACAUAAAAUUUAUAGGUUCCUCCUUUCAAUUAUUAGGACUCAACUGAAGCAUUAUAAAUAUCUGGGUAAAUUACAAAAAUGAUCCUUGUAAGUUUUAUCCAUCAACGAUUUGGUCUUUAUAUUUUUAAAUCUUGCAAUUUUAACCUUGUAGUUUGAUUUUUUCUCCAAAUCAGUCUAAUUGGUUUAUAAGGAGUGUUCCGUGACUCAAUAUGUUUGGUUUGUCGACAAUCUCAUUGACUCUUCCAAGGAUGUGGAGGUACUUGUCGAAAGCAGAGUUAUUAUUGAAUCUCAUUAACAAACUCAGCAAAGAAGCUUUCAUAGCCCCAAGCCACAACUUUACAAACAGCUAAAUGACCACUGCAAAAUCGACACAAGUGGAAGGCCACUUUGAGGCAUGAUUAUUUCCGGACUCCAUGGCGCGUCAUAUAUGUUAUUGUGGCUGAGAUUCUCAUGUUGCUCACUUUUACAUAAACAAUCGUGACUAUUUUUAGACUUUGUGGUGGGUCAUCUAUGCUGUGGUGGUUGAGAUUCUCCUAUUCACCUUCACCUUUGUGGCGGGUAAUAUCUGUUGUUGUGGCCGAGAUUCUCCUUUUGUUCACCUUCACCUUUGUAGCGGGUCAUAUCUGUUAUUUUGACUGAAAUUCUCUUGUUGCUCACCUUAACACAAACACUCAGUGACUAUUUUCAGACUCCGUGGCGGGUCAUAUCUGUUGUUAUUAGGGGCGAAGCCAGAAUGAAUAUUCAGUGGGGUUAAAAGUGUUAAAAUUUAUAUUUAGUGGGGAUAAAAGAGUCAAAAUUUAUGUUCAAUGGGGUUAAAAUUAUAAAUUUAUAAAAUUUAGGAUAAAUUAUUAAUUUUAUGGGAUCAAAAUUAUAUUUAUAAUAAAUUAUAUUAAAAAAAUAGUAUAAUUAUUUUUUCAAUAAGAUAAAUUGACACCAUUUGCCCUCACACGUCCGCCCUGAUUGUUGUGCAUGAGAUUCUCCUGUGGCUUCACAUAAACAGUGUGCUCUAUAAUAGCUUAAAGACAUACCAUUUAUUGGUUCACGUGACUAUUGGAAGUAUCUGCCGCUAGAAAAUUAAAGGCAUAUCAUUUAUUGGUUCACAUGACUACUGGAUGUAUCUGCGGCCCGGGGCCUAGCGCCUAAGCGGAGUCUAGACAACUACCGAUUUUUAGAAUACUGAUAAUGAUGCGUUCACCACAAUGGAGAGAGAGUGCAGUUGACUUGACUUGAAUUGAGUGGAAACUUGGUCUACAAGAACGUUAUACAUGGAUCUGGUCGUAUAAAUUUCACUUAGACUUUUUGGCUGGAGGAUCGCCUAGGGGGUAUAACUUUUUUCUUAGAUACUCCCUUUUAUCCGACAUUUGAAUGGUUUAAAACAUUCCGAAUAACUUUUUUUUCGGGAUAACUUUUCUCCCAGCGGACGAAUAGAGGUGGAUAAUUUUUAAAUGACCCUCACCCUAACCAAAAGUUAUCUAGGCGGAUAUCUAUAUCUAUAUCUAUAUAUUAUAUGUAUGAAUAUCUAGAUAUUUUAUAUUUUUCUUCCUUGUCCCCCACCCUUAUCCACCCAUUCUAAAAAGUAUCCAAACAAAGUUAAAACUUAUCCCCUGAUGCUAUCCGAGCCAAACGUCCCCUUAUAGUCAUAUUCUCUAUCUAU
rnacentral:lncRNA from 1 species